rnacentral:ncRNA from 1 species
GUGGGAGGGGAAAGUGAUCUCUGACCGCGUGCCUGUUGAAGAAUGAGCCGGCGACUCAUAGGCAGUGGCUUGGUUAAGGGAAUGGAACCCACCGGAGCCGUAGCGAAAGCGAGUCUUCAUAGGGCGAUUGUCACUGCUUAUGGACCCGAACCUGGGUGAUCUAUCCAUGACCAGGAUGAAGCUUGGAUGAAACUAAGCAGAGGUCCGAACCGACUGAUGUUGAAGAAUCAGCGGAUGAGUUGUGGUUAGGGGUGAAAUGCCACUCGAACCCAGAGCUAGCUGGUUCACCAAUAGAUGAUACAUUGGUAGCAGCUUCUUUGCCAAGUACUUUUUAUCGAGUGUGUUUAGUGACACUUGACAAAUAGGGAGCCUUUACCGAGUGUCUGUUGGC